UAAGCGGAGGAAAAGAAACUAACAAGGAUUCCCCUAGUAACUGCGAGUGAAGCGGGAAAAGCUCAAAUUUAAAAUCUGGUGGUCUUUGGCCAUNCGAGUUGUAAUUUAGAGAAGCGUCUUCCGCGCUGGACCGUGCACAAGUCUCCUGGAAUGGAGCGUCAUAGAGGGUGAGAAUCCCGUCUUUGGCAUGGACACACCAGGGCUUUUGUGAUGCGCUCUCGAAGAGUCGAGUUGUUUGGGAAUGCAGCUCAAAAUGGGUGGUGAACUCCAUCUAAAGCUAAAUAUUGGCGAGAGACCGAUAGCGAACAAGUACCGUGAGGGAAAGAUGAAAAGCACUUUGGUAAGAGAGUGAAACAGUACGUGAAAUUGUUGAAAGGGAAACGCUUGAAGUCAGUCGCGUCGACCGAGACUCAGCCUCGCCUUGGCUUGGUGUACUUCUCGGCUGACGGGUCAGUGUCAAUUUUGGGCCUCGGAUAAUGACAAGGGAAAGGUGGCACCUUUAUAGGUGUGUUAUAGUCUCCUGUCGGAUGCGAGGGUCGGGAUUGAGGAACUCAGCACGCGCCUUUUGGUGUCGGGGCUUCGGCCUACGCUACGUGCUUAGGAUGCUGGCAUAAUGGCUUUAAACGACC
rnacentral:rRNA from 1 species